AGCUUUGCGCAGUGGCGGUACCGUAGCCAAUGAGGUUUAUCCGAGGCGCGGUUAUUGCUAGUUGAAAACUAUACCCAAUACCCCGCAAUGAUGCCUUCACCGGCUGAUUUGCAAUUUUUUCAGGCUCCUAUACGGGG